rnacentral:rRNA from 1 species
UACGUAGGGUGCAAGCGUUAAUCGGAAUUACUGGGCGUAAAGCGUACGUAGGCGGCUUGUUAAGCAAGAUGUGAAAUCCCCGGGCUCAACCUGGGAAUGGCAUUUUGAACUGGCAGGCUCGAGUUCUGAAGAGGGUGGUAGAAUUUCCAGUGUAGCGGUGAAAUGCGUAGAUAUUGGAAGGAAUACCGGUGGCGAAGGCGGCCAUCUGGCUGAUAACUGACGCUGAGGUGCGAGAGCGUGGGGAGCAAACAGG